rnacentral:tRNA from 1 species
CUCCCCGUAGUUCAAUGGAUAGAACGGGCGCCUCCUAAGCGCCAGAUCUGGGUUCGAUUCCCGGCGGGGGGA